rnacentral:ncRNA from 1 species
CAGACGCAUUACGAGCAGGACGGGCGAAAGCCGAACCUGCACCAACCGAGCCCCCAAGGGCCGCGGUGGUUAUCGGAGCCGAAAGGCGCCGAGAUGAGAGCCGAAAGGCUAAAAACACAGUCCCUCGU